rnacentral:rRNA from 1 species
AUUGAACGCUGGCGGCAGGCCUAACACAUGCAAGUCGAGCGGAGCGGCGGACGGGUGAGUAAUGCCUAGGAAUCUGCCUGGUAGUGGGGGAUAACGUCCGGAAACGGGCGCUAAUACCGCAUACUAUCAGAUGAGCCUAGGUCGGAUUAGCUAGUUGGGGGGGUAAAGGCCUACCAAGGCGACGAUCCGUAACUGGUCUGAGAGGAUGAUCAGGCACACCGGAACUGUGACACGGUCCGGCAUCGUACGAGAGGCAGAAGUCGGGAAUAUCUGACAAUGGGCGAAAGCCGGAUCCAGCCAUGCCGGGUGUGUGAAUAAGGUCUUCGGAUUGUAAAACACUUUAAGUUGGGAGGCGUUACCAACAGAAUAAGCACCGGCUAACUACGUGCCAGCCGCCGCGGUAAUUC